UACGGAGGACGCGAGCGUUAUUCGGAUUUACUGGGUGUAAAGGGAGCGUAGACGGCAUAGCAAGUCUGAAGUGAAAUGCGGGGGCUCAACCCCUGAACUGCUUUGGAAACUGUUAAGCUAGAGUGUCGGAGAGGUAAGUGGAAUUCCUAGUGUAGCGGUGAAAUGCGUAGAUAUUAGGAGGAACACCGGUGGCGAAGGCGGCUUACUGGACGAUAACUGACGUUGAGGCUCGAAAGCGUGGGGAGCAAAC
rnacentral:rRNA from 1 species